CUACGGGUUGCUGCAGUGAGGAAUUUUGCGCAAUGGGGGGAACCCUGACGCAGCAACGCCGCGUGAGUGAUGAAGGCUUUCGGGUCGUAAAGCUCUGUCAAGUGGGAAGAACCUAUGCAGUGUUAAUAUCACUGUAUACUGACGGUACCACUGAAGGAAGCACCGGCUAGCUCCGUGCCAGCAGCCGCGGUAAUACGGGGGGUGCAAGCGUUAUUCGGAAUCAUUGGGCGUAAAGGCACGGAGGCGCCUUGGUAAGCAGAUGUGAAAGCCCGGGGCUUAACCCCGGAAGUGCAUUUGAUACUGUCAGGCUUGAGUAUGGGAGAGGGAAGUGGAAUUCCUGGUGUAGAGGUGAAAUUCGUAGAUAUCAGGAGGAACACCGGUGGCGAAGGCGACUUCCUGGACCAAUACUGACGCUGAGGUGCGAAGGCGUGGGUAGCAAACAGGAUUAGAUACCCGCGUAGUC
rnacentral:rRNA from 1 species